CACGUAGGGGGCGAGCGUUGUCCGGAUUUAUUGGGCGUAAAGAGCUCGUAGGCGGCUCGGUAAGUCGGGUGUGAAACCUCCAGGCUCAACCUGGAGACGCCACCUGAUACUGCUGUGGCUAGAGUCCGGUAGGGGAGUGUGGAACUCCUGGUGUAGCGGUGAAAUGCGCAGAUAUCAGGAAGAACACCAGCGGCGAAGGCGGCACUCUGGGCCGGAACUGACGCUGAGGAGCGAAAGCAUGGGGAGCGAACAGG
rnacentral:rRNA from 1 species